rnacentral:misc_RNA from 1 species
GAUGAAGAACGUAGCGAAAUGCGAUAAGUAAUGUGAAUUGCAGAAUUCAGUGAAUCAUCGAAUCUUUGAACGCACAUUGCGCCCCUUGGUAUUCCGAGGGGCAUGCCUGUUCGAGCGUCAUUACACCACUCAAGCUAUGCUUGGUAUUGGGCGUCGUCCUUAGUUGGGCGCGCCUUAAAGACCUCGGCGAGGCCACUCCGGCUUUAGGCGUAGUAGAAUUUAUUCGAACGUCUGUCAAAGGAGAGGAACUCUGCCGACUGAAACCUUUAUUUUUCUAGGUUGACCUCGGAUCAGGUAGGGAUACCCGCUGAACUUAAGUAUAUCAAUAAGCGGAGGA